UGACGUAGGGACCGAGCGUUUGGUCCGGAAUCAUUGGGCGUAAAGAGCGUGUAGGCGGCUUGUUAAGUCUUGGCGUGAAAUCUCGGGGCUCAACCCCGAGCGGUCGUGAGAAACUGGCAGGCUAGAGUGCGGGAGAGGAGAGUGGAAUUCCUGGUGUAGCGGUGAAAUGCGCAGAUAUCAGGAAGAACACCCGUGGCGAAGGCGGCUCUCUGGAACGCAACUGACGCUGAGACGCGAAAGCGUGGGGAGCAAACAGG
rnacentral:rRNA from 1 species